rnacentral:rRNA from 1 species
AUUGAACGCUGGCGGUAGGCCUAACACAUGCAAGUCGAGCGAGCGGCGGACGGGUGAGUAAUGUCUGUGAAACUGCCUGAUGGAGGGUGAUAACUACUGGAAACGGUAGCUAAUAUCGCAUACCAUCAGAUGUGCCCAGAUGGGAUUAGCUAGGAGGUGGGGUAACGGCUCACCUAGGAGACGAUCCCUAGCUGGUCUGUGAGGAUGACCAGCCACACUGGUACGGAUACACGGUCCAGCCUCCUACGGGAGGCAGCAUGGGGGAAUAUUGCACAAUGGGCGCAAGCCUGAUGCAGCCAUGCCGCGUGGGUGAAGAAGGCCUUCGGGUUGUAAAGCACUUUCAGCGGGGAGGCGUUACCCGCAGAAGAAGCACCGGCUAACUCCGUGCCAGCAGACGCGGUAAUAC